rnacentral:rRNA from 1 species
AUUGAACGCUGGCGGCAGGCUUAACACAUGCAAGUCGAGCGGGGGAAGGUAGCUUGCUACCGGACCUAGCGGCGGACGGGUGAGUAAUGCUUAGGAAUCUGCCUAUUAGUGGGGGACAACAUCUCGAAAGGGAUGCUAAUACCGCAUACGUCCUACGGGAGAAAGCAGGGGAUCUUCGGACCUUGCGCUAAUAGAUGAGCCUAAGUCGGAUUAGCUAGUUGGUGGGGUAAAGGCCUACCAAGGCGACGAUCUGUAGCGGGUCUGAGAGGAUGAUCCGCCACACUGGGACGGAGACGCGGCCCAGACUCCUACGGGAGGAAGCAGUGGGGAAUAUUGGACAAUGGGGGGAACCCUGAUCCAGCCAUGCCGCGUGUGUGAAGAAGGCCUUAUGGUUGUAAAGCACUUUAAGCGAGGAGGAGGCUACUUUAGUUAAUACCUAGAGAUAGUGGACGUUACUCGCAGAAUAAGCACCGGCUAACUCUGUGCCAGCCGCCGCCGUAA